UCGUCAGGUAGGAUAAUCCUUACCUGUUCCUCCUUCGGGAGGGCAGGGAGGGCAGCUCGGAACAUGAUGAUUGGAGCUCGCAUGAUUCGUGAUUAGCGUCUCUGCGUAGUCGGGACUUGCAACAAAGAAGAAGUUCUUAAUACAGUAGGAAAUACUGAA
rnacentral:snoRNA from 2 species